CUUGACAGAAAUGUUGCCCUCCCAAAAUGGAUGAAUUGUAAGACGGCCCCUGGCCUUUCCUAAUGCGACCUGGACAUGGGACUCCAUCAGCAGGACCUGGCGUGCCGCCAGUGGGCCCAUCUAAACAUCCUCAGCACAUGCAAGGGAGGGGAAAUCAUUUGCUAUGGCUUUUACGUAAAUAACACUCGGGGAAUACAUUCAACGUCCUAGUGAACAUCUCGCAGUGCGGUGAGUAUUCUCUGAAGUUACUCCGACUUCCAUGAAGUCUUUAAACGGGGAGGAUGAAGUGGAAGUCGAUCCGCCCACAUCUCUUUGGAGUCAACAACAUGGUGACGUCACAGCGCCUGCUCGCCGAGCCCUUUCAGCGGGCGUCUGCAUGCGGCCCUUUUAUUGCUCCGAUCAUCUUCUUGGCCUUCACAUCAAAAGAAUAAUUCAUAGCAGGCACUCGUGAAUGUCCUAUUCAGAACUUCCAGUGUAGGAAUGAAGAUUGGAAGAAGAGGGAACAAAAUGCCUCUUAGUACUUUACUGAGUAUUAAAAAGUCGCUCUUAUAUGAGCAACUAACCAAAGUUCUUAUUUGUUGGUGUUAUCGUUCACAAGCAAUGAACGGGCCUUCUCUGGUUCGUCUUGUUUUGGUUUGUCUGCCACAGCCAUGUUUUGAUGGCUAUGGAAUGUGCAAUAGAACCGAAGAAGAACGAGUCAACUUCCCGACAACCUUGACACUUUGUGUUGUGUUCCCGUUUAUUGACAGCCACAUCAAAGUUAAUCCAAUAGGAACGCGAUAAGAUAGCCGGAGUUUAGUUAGAAGAAAAGAAAAAAAAGAGGAAGCAAAGAUCCUUGAGUUGUCUGUCUAAGUAAUUCAGACUAAAGAGUACGACAUAAUAAUGUGGCUAUGCCAGACGUUAUGAAAAUAACAAUAUAAACACCACCUCACAGAAACCCUAACCCAGGGGUGUCGAAGUAAUUUUUGGGCGGGCUGCGUUGUAGUCAUAGCUUCUUCCUUUAUGACUGUCAACCCAAAUAAAUGUAUGAGCUCCUCAUAUUAUAUACAGUUAAAGAUACAAAACAAACUGACAAAUAACAAAUCAAACGAGUAAAAACGGAUGAAUUCGAUGCACAAUUUGUCACAUAAAAUGAUGUGGCGGGUCGUAUCUGGCCCCCGGGCCUUGACUUUGACCCCAGUGCCCUAACCCUAGUUUGAAACCCUGACCUUAGUUUGAAUGAAUGAAAUUUUGUAGUCGAUUUCCCAUUUUGAGGUUUCAUUUCUUCUUGUUUUUACUUUUAUCAAAAAGGCCUGAGGUAUGUCAAUUGCUAUUUCUAAGAAAUAUCUUCUUCAGGAAAGCAGCCAGCCAGCCAGCCAGCCAGCAUCCUGUUUGUAUUCCACCUGACCUUGACAGACAGGAUCCUCAACAUUAGUGUUGGCUCGUGAGUGAAUGAUUCAUUCAAAAGAACGAAUCUUUUCAGUGAAGGAGAGUGAACGAAUCACUUUUUUUUUUUUGCUCACCUGAUAAGGUAUCAAAACAAACGAUUUGUACUUUGCUACUAGCCACCAGUACUUUUUAACCUUCUAGAGUUUCUGUAACUCGCUCCCAAGCCGUAACACGAUGUACAAAUCAGUGAGAUAUGUUUACGCGUGAUAAAAAUAACCGGGAUCAGUGUUGAGGCAGAACAAAUAGUCCAAGAGGAAAUGAAAUCCACAUUUUGCAAAACAUGAGGUUUAAGCAAGGCGCUUUUGGGUUUGCGAAGUGUCGCUGUGCCUACUUUAGCCUGUAAUUGUUGUUUUGAUCCGCUUGGGUGUGGCUCGCUUCCAGUGAGCGGUGCCUCUGGCAAGAAUAUAUUUUCGACUCACUGAACACCAUGUACCGUUUUACUCACAUGCAACAGUUGAAAAAAAGUGCAAGCCUUUUGAUUCGGUAUUGUUUAUUUGAAAAACCACAAUAAGGAAACUUUGGCAACAUUGUGAUUUAACAUUGUAUAAAAAUACAUUCGAUGCAUUUUUCAUGCAUGACACAGCUGAACCUGAAGACUUUUUUUUUUUUUUUUUUUAAAUUGAGGAAAAAGUCAUAAUCCCAGAGUCAGGUUUUGGAAUGUUCUUUGUCCAUACACUCCAGAGGCAUCUCCAGAUUAAAACUCGUCUUAAAUCUGGUCCGGUUAAGCUUCCCAAAUCUGCAUCUGGCUCCCAUCAAACGCUUGCAAGCACACCAUUGCGGCUCCUUUUUAUGGGAGCUUAACACUGAACCUUGUUCACUUUUAUAAACAAACAGCCCAUUUCUUUCUGCUUUGUGCAAACAAAACUCAGCACCCGCUAUCUGACGCUUGCACAAUACGACAGUUUUUGUUCGAUCUUUCCUCACUUCCUCUUUAACAACGUUUUCCCUUUUGCCUCUUUCUUUUUUCUUUACUGCAUGCAUAAAACAUUUUUGUGCUUGGUGGAUAGUAGAAAGCAUCACAGGCACUGGCAACACUUCUCUCGACACCGUUGACAGUAUGAUUGUAAAAAAAAAGGUCCGUUUACAACAAGGCACUUGACACUUUGAAGCAGCCGAUACAAGUGAGCUCACCCCUUCAACGUGUUCCUUCGAUCUCCAUUCAGGUGAGGGGAAUCGAUGUAGCUCUUAUCAUCAGGAUUUUUUAAAAGAAGAGAGAGAAAGAAAAAAAAAAUCGCUGAUGUAGCGCUGCCGCUUCCAUUUUAGCAGAACCGUAAAGAGUUCAUUGGAAACAAAGCAGGGGGUUGCUCCUUCGUCUCGAAGUCCCCCCGGCGGCGGCGGCGGCGGCGGCGUCAACUUUGACCGUGGCGCUCGCCGCAGUCUCUCAGUGACUGCCGGUACGACCGGGUGCCACUUUUCAAAGAGGACGAGUCGGACCAAUCUCUCGAUUCACGAGAUGAAUCUAAAUUGCUUGACACUCAGGCAGGCUCUUGCAGUUCAGCACGUCAUGCAGCGAGGCCUCAUGUGCAAAGGUUGAGGAUUGGGGUCGACCUGAAGAAAGACAAGCGUGUUUUUUCUUUUUUUUUUUUCUAUUCGUUUGGUCAAUAAUGCCAUUUCAAAAUGAUUGGAGGCUUUGGCUCACCUCACUGUACACAGGCGGAGGUCGGAAGCGGAACUCCUGCACAAAGGCCAUGAGGGGCCUCUCGAGGAUCCCACUCAGAUCUUCGGCCGGCGGCGGUGGUGGUGUCGCCGCCUCCGCCGCCGCCGCGUUGUUGUUAUUGUCGCACUGCUCUGCUUCUCCUUCCGCCACCACCGAGCUGUACUCCGGAGGAGCUGCACGGGGAAAACAGGUACAAUUAUUCCACCGAUCUGACUCAAACAGGUCCGAACAUGAAUCUCUUGACUCAUUUGAAUCGGUUAAACCCGCAUGACUUUUAUUGGCUUUUUUUUCCAUUGACAAAUAAAUCCGAAAAGUAUGUUGUUGUUUUUUUAGAGGUUGGCAUUCAACUUAAUGUCAGUGCUCUGAUUCAACUUGAUUUCUUUUUUUUUUUUUUUUCAUGAUUUGAAGGGAAUGCAACUUACGCUCAGGCUGCUCUGGGAUGGCCAUCCGCAGCCACUCCAGAUUGACGCUGUACUGGCUGCUGACGCUGGAGGUCCUGCUUCCAAAGGGAUGGAGCGGGAUGGUGCCUAUGACCAAGGGCAACUCCAGAAACAGCUUGGAGGUUCCCGGGACAUCCACACACACCUGGCGGGGGAGGAAUUCCGCUCAGGGAAGACCCAGAAAGAGCAGCGAGGUGUGUGUGUGAUCUGGCAACUGAGCUGACCUUGAGCAUGUAUUCCACUUUGAUGAUGCGGCACUGCAGAAUGGACGGACCCACGGGCGGGAUCUUGAUGGCCCGACCGUGCCAGGUCUCCCUGCGCCUGGCGCCCACCACGUCGCCGCUCAGCGUGGCCACCACGGCGCACUUCUGCUUCAUGGUGCCGCGGGCGAUGAACGUCUGAGUUUGAGUGAUGUACGCUUUGGGCACCACCGAGCGGGAAGUUGAAUUGUCAAACUCGGCAAAAACGGGGAUGACCUCGCCUGUGGAGAGGAGGGAGAAAAGGAUUCAUGGUCAACAAACAGGUCACGCGGGCUCCCUAUUGUGAUGCAAAUGAUUUGAGUGGAUCUUCUGGAGGAGAUGCAACCUUGAGGAGAGGAGAGGACUGACCUGCCUGCAGCAGCACCUCUCUGCGGUUCAAGUAUUCCACCUCGUCGCUAUAGUUCUGCGUAUAAGCUGUGCUGGAGCCGGCCGAACGGGACUCGGUCCAGUGCACUUUGGCAAAACCUUCAGCGUGGAGCUUCAGUGAGUCCACGCGACUCUCCCCGGUGAGCUCCAGCAACACCCGGCCGGACACCACGUCCCCGCUGCUGUACACGGGGGGACAGUCCACGUCCGCAGCGUCGAAGACGAUGUCCAACUUUUUCAACUUGUCGAAAAUCAUUGUUGCUACUCGUCUUAAGUUAUUCCUUUCGGUGUUGUGGGAUGAAGAUGAUGUUG